rnacentral:lncRNA from 1 species
CUUCCCAUAUUGGGUAAAAAUGCAAACCUAUAGCUGCAGAGGUUGGAAUAAUGGCACCAGAAAGAAUAUUGUUUCCAUAAAGUAGAGAACCAGAAACAGGUUCACGGAUCCCAUCAAUAUCUACUGGAGGAGCCGCAAUGAAGGCGAUAAUAAAUACAGAAGUUGCGGUCAAUAAGGUAGGGAUCAUCAAAACACCGAACCACCCAAUGUAAAGACGGUUUUCGGUGCUGGUUAUCCAGUUGCAGAAGCGCCCCCAUAAGCUUGUGCUUUCGCGUCUCUCUAGCAGUCAUGGCAAGAUCUUGGUUUAUUCAAUCAUCAGGGACUCCCAAGCACACAGAUUAUCUAGAAAUAGAUAAUUUAAGGCUUUUUAUUCAACAGUAUAACAUGACCUAUAUGCCUGUGUCAACCAAUAUCGAAGAUAGACUAAUAUUGCAAGAUAUCUAUCUCUAGCUGGUCUAUAUCUAAUUAAGAUAUCUAGACUCUAGAUCUAAUCUAGAUAGAUCUAUACGAAUGAUUCGUAAAUGAUAAAUGAGGUGAAAGACAUAUGACAGAUAAAUUGAAUUGAGAAGUUAUUCAAUUCAAUAACCAAUAACAAAGAAAGAAAAAAAAAUUAUUUUUCAAUAUUUUUCUUCCAUAUGGGAAGAAUGGGUUGCCCGGGACUCGAACCCGGAACUAGUCGGAUGGAGUAGAUAAUCUCACUCUUUGAAUAAGAGAAAAGGAUCUCUCCCUAAACCGUGCUUGCAUUUUUCAUUGCACACGGCUUUCCCUAUGUAUACAUUUAAAACUCGGUUCCCUAGAAAAAAAUAUAAGAAACUUGAAUCCUAAGUUGAUUCAACUACUACUCCAUUCCAUGAGCAGAGCAUUUCAAUAUUUCAAUGAAUUAGACUUGUUUAUCUAUAUAUUCUUAUCUAUAUAAUAUAUAGAUAAGAAUAUAUAAAUACAUACAAUGACCAGUUAUGAAUACUUUAUUAUUGACAUUUUACAUGGUCCCACGAUCAAUCAUCAAUGAUUGGCCAGACUAUGAAUACGGAUAAUAUCCAAAUACCAAAUUCGUCCACUAUGGAAAGGGGUUUUUGGAAAAAUCAAGGAAAGAAUCUCUUGUUCCUCCGUAAGGAAUUCGUCCAAGAAUUCCGAACCUAAUCUUUUCAAAAUUGCGCGUACCGUGCUUUUAUGUUUACGAGCCAAAGUUCUAGCACACGAAAGUCGAAGUAUAUAUUUUAUUCGACACAAACUGUGUUUUUUGUAGGACCCACUGUGAUAAUGAGAGAGAUUUCUGCAUAUCCGCCCAAAUUGAUCGAGAAUAUCAGAAUCUGACGAAUCGGCCCAGACCGACUUACUAAUAGGAUGCCCUGAUACGUUACAUAAUUUUACUUUAGCCAAGGAUCCAAUAAGAAAAAUAGUUGGGACUACUGUAUCGAAUCUCUUGAUAACAGCAUCUAUCAUAAAUGAAUUCUCUAGCAUUUCACUCCUUACCAUCGAGGGAUUUAAUCGUAGACCUGAAAGAUAGCCCGGGAAAUAGAAGGAAUGAUUGGAUAAUUCAUUUAUAUGGAUUCUGCCCGGUUGAGACCAGAAGUAAAAACGGAAUUGCCAGAAAUUGACAAGGUGAGAUUUCCAUUUAUUCAUAAGGAGAUAAGUACCCCUUGAAGCCAUAAUUGAUUUUCCUUUAUAUCUAACAUAAUGCAUGAAAAGGUCCUUGAACAACCAUAAAAUAUUCUGAGAAUGAUUACGCAUGGAUACUACAAAAUUUUCUAUUUUUCCAUAGAAAUGUGUUCGUUCAAGAAAAGAUCCAAAAGAUAUCGACCGUAAAUGAAAAAAUUGUUUACGUAGGAAAACGAAAAGGGAUUCAAAUUGAUAUACAUGAAAAUUGUACAGGAACAAAAACAAUCUUUGAUUCUCUCUUGAAAAAAAAGAACUGCAUUUCUUUGUAUUUGUAGUAAUGAAACUAUUCCAAUUCUGAUGUUCGUGGAGAAAAAACCGCAAUAAAUGCAAAGAAGGAAGGUCUCGUAUCCAUUGGCGAAGGCUUUGAACCAAGAUUUCCAGAUGGAUUGGGUGGGGUAUUAGUAUAUCUAACACAUAAUUUAAAUAUGAAAGUUUGUCCUCUAGAAACGGAAAUAUUGAAUGGAUAGAUUGGAAAUUAUGAGAUUCAGAUCCUUUUUCUAGGGAAGAUACUAAUCGCAUCGAGAAUGGAAUUUCCACAAUUACUGCAAAACCCUCUGAUACCAUUUGAAAAUAAGAAUUCCUGCUAUGCCCAAGAAAUCUAUUUUGGUUAGAAUCAUUAAAUGAAAUGAUGAAAUGAUUCUGUUGAUACAUUUGAAUAAUUAAACGUUUUACAUUUAGUGAACUGGAUUUCUUGUCAUGACCUAAAUCUUCCAUGGGUUCGUAAAGAAUUGAUCCAUUUAAACCAUGAUUAUGAGCAAGUGCAUAGAUAGACUCCUGGAAUAGAAGCGGAUAUAGGAAGCGUUGUUGAUGGGGUCUAUCUAUUUCUAAAUAUCCUCGUAAUUCCUCCAUUGAAAAUCCAAUUGGUACCGCAAGCAGAAGAUAUUUUUUAGAUUAUCAAAUGAUACAUAGUGCGAUAGGGUCGGAACAAGCAAGAUCUAUAAUAUAUGGGAAUACCAAUAGAGACCCCGGGUAGUCUAAUCGACGGGUGCUUUCUUUUUCCAUCCAAUUUUUUUUGUGCUCCUUAUGCUAUAGUUACAAGAGAUGGUGUAUUAGCAAUCCUUUAUUUUGGCAACCUAAUCGCUCUUCUGAUUUUGGAAUGAAUAUUCUUUAUCAGUACACUGUUUCUUAUACACAUUUGUCUCUACUCCAGCAGCUUAUGGAAAAUAGUGAAUAGUUAGGAUUCGUUUUUGAAAAAAAAAAGAAUUGACGAUCCACUCACAGGAGAACUCUUUCCCGCACCAGGUACUAAUCCCUUUUUAACGUCUAAUUAGAUCGGGUACUCGUUCGAAUUAAGAACGGAAGUUCGUUGCUUUUUGUUUCCCUAUAACUAUUAAGAUAAGAAUAUAAUUAAUUUUUAAUUGGAGCCAUAUAGCUCUAUCCAUUUCUUCACUCGACCCAACUGUAAAUUGAUUUGGUUUCGUUCCAAGAAUGAAAACAAGAUUUUGUACAGAUCCGGUAUGAACAAAUAAGAAUGAAGAUUUGUAGAGUUAUCCAUGGAUGCGACAUGCUCUUUUUUCCAUUCAUUCCCUUUCAGGAUCAGUCGUGGUCUUACAAACCCUACCAAUGGUAUGGAUGAAUCCGUUGCUUCAUCCAAAUGUGUAAAAGAUCAUAGUCGCACUUAAAAGCCGAGUACUCUACCGUUGAGUUAGCAACCCAGAAAAAAAUAAAAAUACGGUACUAGACACGAUCGAAAUGAAACAAUAAAGAAAUUGGAUUGCUCAACUCAGAAAAAAAGCAUUGAACUAGCAGCAAGUCAAGUAUAGAAAAGGCGUAUGAUUAUCGAUGAUGAACAUCAAGAUGAAGAGAUCAGAUAAAAAUAUAAAAAUACAGGCGGAUUCACAGACAGUUAUACAUGUCAAAAUUGAUAGACCAAUAAUAAGAAUCCUUGAAUUGAAUUAGAAUCCUUGAAUUUUUUCUUUCUUAUUUCUUUUUUUUUUCAUACUUUACUUAUUCAUUUCAUUUAUUUCAAACAUUUCAAAUUUAUUGAAUUAAAUAUAUUCUAUGUACAUAUUGAUUGUAUAUAUUCUAUUACUUAAUAGACCUUUUCUAUUUAUUUAAUUGAUAAUUGAAUAUUUUCAUUCUUUUAUUUUAAUUCUUUUAAUUUAUAUACCUUUAAACCCCGAAUAUUUCUCUAUUUGAAUAUUUCUCUAUUUGAAUAUUUCUCUAUUCUAAUUCUAUUAUUCUAAUAUUCAACUAUUAGAUAUUAGAAAUGGAAUAAAUAUAAAUUGAAUAAAUAAAUUGAAUAGAAUAUUCAAAUAAAAUAAUUCAAUUCAAUAUUUCAGUUCUAUAUUAGAAUUAGAUUCUUAUUCUACUUUUCUUUUUAUAUUUUUUUUUAUUUGAAUUCAAAAUAUCAAAAUAUUCCUUUUAUUAAUAUUUCUUAAUAUGUUGAAUAUCAAUUCCAUUAAGAAUAAAAGAUAUUUAUUGCGUCUGUGAUAGUGGAUAGGGCCAACCAAUUGUUUGAGUGAAGUAAAGGAUCGAACUAAACUUAUGGACCGGAGGAAAUAGAUCUGUUUAUCUACGAUCGAAUUAUAUCGGUUGAAUACACCAUUGUCAAUAUGAAUGUUGGGAAAAAUAAAAUAAAUAAGACAUUGUCUUAAAUUGGUACUACAUGGAUAAAAAAUAGAAUGUGGCUGGAAGAAUAAAUCAUAAAUAAUAAAAAAGGUAAGGAAAAAUAGAAUAAUAAGAAUAAAUAGUAAGAUUCAUACUAAUACAUUUAUAACUAUUUAAUUUUGAUUAUUAUAUUCUUUUUUUUUUAUUUCCAUUUAAUUUUAAUUUCUAUAUUCUUUUAUUUUAUUACUUAUUAAUCUAUUCUAUAUCUAUAGAAUUCUAUAGAAAAAUAGAAUUCUAUAGAAAAAUACAAAUUUCUUACAAAAUCCAAAACAUACAAAACAAAUAUUUACAAAUACAAAUACUGUACAAAUAUUCAAAUUCAUAUUUCAUAUUCAUUAAUAAGAAAUUAAUAAUAAAUAAGAAUUUACUGAACAUUCAUAAUAAAUGUACUGAAUAUUUUCAUUAACAAUUAAUUGAUUAAUUAUUGAUUAAUAGAAAAUCAAAUUAGAAUUGAAAUAAUUAAAAUAUAAAAAAGAGAAAUAAAAAAGAAUUCUAAAAAUUCUAAUUUGUAUUAAUGGAAAAGGGUUCGUUGUGCUUAGCUUAUACGAUAUUGGAUCAUAUGAGAUCCGUAGUGAAUAGGUAUGAAUAGAGAAAUAGAAAAAAGGGGAAUGGUGAAAAAACAAUUGAACAAAGCUAGAUACUGGUCACUCUUUUAUGAAUUUCAUUUGAUUAACUCCAAGUUAUUUAAAUACCUCCGCCUUCUUUGAAAUAUCAUGAACAGUUACUGUAGGCUGAGCUCCUUUUUCAAGGAAAUAUAGAAUAGCAGGAACGUUUGAAUAAGUUUGAUUCUUUAUUGGAUCGUAAAAACCCACUUUCCGAAGAGCUCUUCCGUCUCUUCGGGAUCUAACAUCAAUUGCAACGAUUCGAUAAAUGACUCAUUGGGAUAGAUGAAUAACACCCCCCCUAGAAACGUAUAGGAAGUUUUCUCCUCGUACGGCUCGAGAAAAAAGGAAUUCAAUUUAUGUAUUGUAUUAUGGCAUGGCAAAUGCAUCCAUAAAAUCAUCAAUUGGAUUAUGAUUUGAGUCGUCUUUUUUCGCCAUCCUUUCUAAAAACUAAAAAAAAAAUACUACCAUUCGUACUCAUAACUCAAGUUGGGUAAUUCUGAAAGAUCUCGAAGGGAGACCCUUCAACAUUUAUUUAUUUAUUGAGACGUCUCUAACCUUUUUCCUUUGUCUCAUCUAAGAUCAUUCUAGUUGUUGAGACAAUAAGAAUUGAAAAUGGCAUUUCCUUGUUCUGAGAUCCCAUAUCUUUGAAUCAUUAGGUUUAGACAUUACUUCGGUGAUCCUUAAUCGUUCCGAAACGACAGCAACAUGCCUUUUGGUAUUUCUUUACGUUGAAGAAUCAUACGAAUGAUUGAUUUCCCCGUAAUACACUUUUGAUCGAAAGAGUUUCGGCAAUUUCAACAACUUUGCUUUUUUAUUUGAAACUUGUUAGAAUUUGACCCCCUUUCGAAGAUCUAUUUACGAAGUUGUUCCAACUUAUUGAUUGGGACUAACCCUAGAUCCUGACCCCUGAUCAAUGAAUCAAUAUUUGACUUUCUGCUCGAGCUCCAUCAUGUACUAUUUACUUAUUAAAUUACAACCCAAUAAGAGCGGGUCCUAUCCUCGUGGAACAGAACAAAGGAUGUUGAGUCAAGAGCAUCUUCAUUCAUAUAUAAAAUGGUGGAUUAAUCCACAGCCGAUCAUGUCGUUCAAGUCGCACGUUGCUUUCUACCACAUCGUUUCAAACGAAGUUUUACCAUAACAUUCCUGAUCCUAAAUUUAGAACCGGUAUGAAAUUUUGAUUCAAUUUCAAUAUGGAAUCAUGAAUAGUCAUUGGUUGAAUUGGUUUGGUACUGGUACAUAGUACAUAGUUUUUAUUACACCCACCUAAUUUAUCCAUAGACAUGGAUAGGUACCUAUCUGGAAGUAUCAGCAAGGAUCCAAUUUGACCCGAUUCUAUCGUAUGAAGGAAAUCUAUUCUAUAAAAUAAAAAAAAAAAAAGAAAUCAAAGACAUUUAUGAUAUGAGAUAAACAAGUUGCUUAACACUUAUUUUUUACCAGAUUCCGUUCGGGACAAUCAGUCAUGAAGGGUUCGAUUCUUUCUAGAACGACGAACGAUUGAAUUGGAUUCCCAAUACCGGAACAGAAGGAGUCAUUAACUGAAUAAGCUAAGCUAUUCCAGUUAUCCGGAAGGAAAGAAAGGCUGCAAGUGGGAUGUGAUAUAUUCACCAAUCCCACACUUCUUCCAAUACCGAGGAUUUUGUAGAUAUUUCAAUUAUUGGCGAGACGCCGAAUUUUAUCAUCCUAACAUAAAUAGAAAUCUAUGUUUCUUUUCCAAUUGAAUCAUCAAUCAGAAUCGGGGCAGUAUGAUCCCUCGGGUACACGUUAUUCUAUAUACUAUAUAGUUAUAGUAUAGCUAUAUUCUUAUCUUAAUAUUCUUAUUCUAUCGUAGUAUAUUCUACAAUAUGGAAUAUGGAUUAGAAUCAUUCUAUAUAACUAUUAGAUAUGAAUAUUCUAUGUAGUGUAAGUAAUAAAAUAAAUAUUCAAAUUGUAUAUUACAACAACGAUACAAUAGAAUCUAAGAAAUAGAAAUAAGUAAUAAACACAAUAACAGUUAAACAAAACAAUACUGAAAUAAUAUUCAAUUAAAGAAACAAUAUUCUGUAAUUAUUAUUCUUAUAUUUAUUUAUACUUUAAUUUGAUUAUUUGAUUUGAAUUUUGAUAAAAUAGAAAUAUUAAAAUAGAAAUAGCUAUUUUUUAGAAAUAGAUAUUUUUGAUUUGAAAUAAUCUAAUUCAUACAUAUUUAUAUAUAUGUAGCCAUAGUCUUAUAUAUAUACUGUAUUAGUAUAUAUUAGGUGUUUGAUGUUUCAUAUUUAUAUUACUUAAUAUAACAUAUUCUAUAACAUAUUGUAGAAUGAAUCUACAUAGUAUAGAAUAUGAAAUAUCCUCAACAACAAUAUAAUAAAUUGAAGGGAAGAUAUGACUCAGAGAAGAAUUAUUAGAAAUAAUAAAUAAAAAUCAUAAAUUCGGAUUAGAUCACAUUGUAUCCAAUAUGAAAUAUGAAACUCUUAAAUAUAAAGAAAUAGAAGAUUGAUUUUUAUGUUAAUUAAGUGUUAAUUAAAGAGAGGAUAUCGAUUCUGCUAGAAUUGGUCUGGGACGGAAGGAUUCGAACCUCCGAAUAACGGGACCAAAGCCCGUUGCCUUACCGCUUGGCCACGCCCCAUUUCUAUUUCUAUUUGACGGUAAUAAACACUAAUAUCGGUAUUGGUUGUUUGUCAAUUCCAGCCCAUAUAUCUAUGGAAUAGGUUGUUGCUCGGAUUCAACACGUGUAGAAUAAAAAUGAAUUCAUUGAUGAUUAUGUAUUAAUUCAAUUACAAUUAAGAUAUUCUAUGAAACUAAGAUUUUGGUUCCUUAGAAUUCUAAUUUAGAAUUAGAAUUGAAUUCAACAAUUGAAGGAUCUUUGAUUUGAUUCAGGUUCAAAGAAGGAUUUUUUAGACUACCUUCUUUAUCUUUAUUUUCUUUUUUCCCUUGUAUCAAAAAAUCAAUAAAAAUGAAAUUAUCUCCAAGAAAAAAAUGUUUGUUAUGCCUAAUAUCUUCAGUUUGAUCUGUAUCUGUCUUCAUUCUGCCCUUCAUUCGAGUGGUUUUUUCUUCGCGAAACUGCCCGAGGCCUAUGCUGUUUUCAAUCCAAUCGUAGAUGUUAUGCCGGUCAUACCUUUGUUCUUUUUUCUCUUAGCCUUUGUUUGGCAAGCUGCUGCAAGUUUUCGAUGAGAUCUUUGAUACUGCUUUAGAAACAUAGAUUUCUAAUUUACUCGAGAAAAUAUUUUGACAAUUGAGAAGAUGAGAUAAGUGUUGCAUUAUGAACCUUUGAUUCAAAUAUUGAACAUUUUGGAUAGCCGCGAUGAAUCUCGAUCGUCUGGUUUCCUCAUUAUAAUUCGAAUCCUCCAUGGAGGAAUAAUUCUGGUCCAACACAAUACCAAAUUUUAGGCAUGACGAGAUCCUUUUGUUAACGAAGGAAUAAAAGUCUUAUUCCAACUAGAUUCUUGCAAAUUCUUUUCUAGAAAUAACUUCAUUUCUUCCUCUCUUGGUGUCAAAAGGGGGAUAUGUGGUACUGGUACAAAGAUUGAUAAUCUAUUCCCUUUUUCUUCUAAAAACCAUCUUGGAGAUUGUGUAAUGCUUACUCUCAAACUGUUCGUUUACACAGUAGUGAUAUUCUUUGUUUCUCUAUUCAUUUUUGGAUUCCUAUCUAAUGACCCAGGACGUAAUCCUGGGCGUGACGAAUAAAGAAUAAGAGGUUUUUUACUUGCUUGGUUCCUAAAAUUUGAUUUCUUCCAUACAUUUAUCUGUGAAAAAAAGAAAAAAAGAUCGGGUUUCGAAUUCAAAAGAGAAAUCUCAAAUCAUCAGAGGGAACGGAGAGAGAGGGAUUCGAACCCUCGGUACAAAUAGCUCGUACAGCGGAUUAGCAAUCCGACGCCUUAAUCCACUCAGCCAUCUCUCCCAAUUGGAUUGGAAAAGGAGAAUUCAUAAUGUGACGCGUGAAGUAAAGAUUGAUAAGAAUCUUUUUUAUAUAAAAAAUAACAAUAACAAUUUGAAACUUAAAACUGAGAUUUUCAAAAGAAAAAGAAGAGGUAUCCUUUCUUUUUCUUAUUUCGCUCGAAAAGUUAUUUUGUUCCACGGCCUGGCCAGUACCUAGGCCAGGCCAUUCCUUUUUCUUGUUCCAAUGAAUGAUAGAUCAAAUGAUUUACCUGAUCCAAAAACUAAAAAACUUUCCUUGUUUUUAUUGAAACAGCUUUUGUUCUUGUUUCACUCUUAUAGACUCUAUUCUAGAAUAGAAUAUGAAUCUCUUUCUCAUUUAUUUACUUUCAUUCUAUAGAUUCUAUUCUAUUUACUAUAUUCUUUACUUUACUUUACUUUUUUUUUCUUUUUUUUUUUCAAGAGACAAACCUUGUAGAAAUGCCUGAGUCCGCAUCAUACUAUGAUUUGAUUUCUGAUUUCUUUUCUUUUUUCAUUAUAAUUACAAUUACAUUCAUUAUUUACAAUUACAUUGAUUAGUAAGAAUAAGAAUUCAUUCUAUCAUUAAUUAAUGAAUUUUAUUCAUUCUAAUAUUCUCUCAUUCUAAUCUAAUUAUUAAUUCUAUUCAAUUAUAUACAAAUUGAAUUUGUAAUUCAAUUUUUCUUUAUAUAUUAAAAUUCUAUAUUCUAAAUAUUUUCUAUUCUAAAAAAAUAUAUAUAUAUAUAUAUGAAUAUGAAAUAAUAGAAUAUAUAUGGAAUAUAUAGAAGAAUAGAUCUAUUAAGAAAAUAAAUUCUAUUUCUAUAAUUAAUUAAUUGAUAAAAAAUGAAUUUAUGAAUUCAAUUAUUUCUAUUCUAACUAUUCUAAAUUAGAAUAUAGAAUUUCUUGAUAUUCUAUUUAUAUUAGAAUUAUAGAAAAAUGAAAUUUCAAUUCAAAUAUUAAUAUUAUAAAAAAUAUUAAUAUCAUAUUUUGAUUCUUUUACUUUUAAAGAAAUUUAAAAUAAAGUUAUUAUUUAUUAUUAUUUAAAGUUAUUUAUAUUUAUUUUAUAUUCUUAUUGAUUGUUUAUUGUAAAGUAAAUUACUUAUUACUUAUAAAUUAUAAAGUAAGAAAUCUAAUUCUAAUUAGAGAGUAGUAUACUAAUAGUAUUAGGAUAUAGGUGUAAAUGAGAUUUGAAAUAUUCAAUUUCAUAUUAAGAAAUACAUAUAAAUUAAUACAUAUAAAUUAAGUAUUAAGUAAAGUAAAUAAGUAUUAAGUGAAUUAAAGGAAAGGAAAUUCCAUUUGAAAUGAAAUUUUUCAAUGAGGGUAAGAAGGAAGAAGAUAAUGGGAGUACGAAGAUAGGUCCAAUUGAUCCGAAUUCAUAAGAAUCCAAAGAGGGAGGAGACGGAAGAAAAGAUACAUACGAUUCAAGUCCCAAUCUUGAUAAAAAAACACUUUUUGAUAAAAUAUAAAAGAAAAGAAAAUCAAGGGGAAGUUGCACGAAAAUGGAGCUAUGGAUUCUUGCACAACUAAUUUCUUGUUCCGGCUUCAAUGGUUCCAUCAUAGCUUUCAGUAAGGGCUCCUUCAGCAAAAAAAGGAAUACUUUCUUAUCUUUUCUUUUUGAAAUCUUAGGUUUCUUUCUUCUCCUCUUUCAUCAAAUACCCCUGAGGACACAUCAGAACUCAAAUUUUCAUUAGUCUUAUUCCACAUGUCUUAGUUCGACAAACGAUCCAUUCCUAUACAAUAAUCACAUUGUAGCGGGUGUAGUUUAGUGGUAAAAGUGUGAUUCGUUCUGUUACCAAACAAAAAAGUUAAGGGUCCCUCGGUUUGAUUCCGAUUCCGAUCAAAAACUUUAUUUCUUAAAAGGAUUGAAUCCUUUCCUGUAAAUGCCACUAUUGAGGAAAAAAUAUACAUUCUCGUGAUUUGUAUCCAAAGGGAAAUAGAAAUAAAAAAAAAAAAAAGAAAAAAAUUGUUUGGAUUAUGGAAUUGCGAAGCAUAAUUGUUUUUAGUUUUAGCUGGAUUCGUCCUUCCAAUUGGAUGAGUAUGAGUAAGGGAUCCAUGGAUGAAGAUACAAAAAUCUAUUUCUAAUCGUAACUAAAUCUUCAAUUUUUGUAAAAGAGAGAUUGAAGCCAAAUAGCUAUUCAAUGAUGACUUUAGUUUACUAGGGGCAUCGGCAUGGAGUUUCGGCUCGGUGGAAAUAAAAUCUUUUCCUCAGGAUUCUUACGAAUAGAAAUAGGGAACGAAGUAACUAGAAGUAUUUGUUCAAAUCCCUCUCUCUUCUAGAGGGAUCAUCUAGAAAGCGAGUAUCUUUGGACACAUUCAUACAGAAAAGCUGACAUAGAUGUUAUGGAUUGAAUAAAAAAAAAAAAAAAGAAUUCGGAUUUGCUAUAACUCCCUUCUUUUCCGUCCAUUAAAAGAUGUUUUUUUAUUUUUAUCUAGUUUCCUUGCUUUACGCAGUGAGAAUCUAUCCAUCUUCAUAAAGGAGCCGAAUGAAACCAAAGUUUCAUGUUCGGUUUUGAAUUAGAGACGUUAAAAAUAAUGAAUUAACGUCGACUAUAACCCCUAGCCUUCCAAGCUAACGAUGCGGGUUCGAUUCCCGCCGCCCGCUCCCUCCAUAUCCCUCCAUACAUGAUAGAUCAUUGAUCUUUAUAUACAUCUUUAUUCCAUAAGAUUCCCGCACGGAAUACAAUCAACUGGAUUAUGUUUUUAUCCGAAGGGAUGACGGGAAAAGAGGAAUGGGAGGGAAAGAAGAGAAUCAGAAUCAAAAGCGUCCAUUGUCUAAUGGAUAGGACAGAGGUCUUCUAAACCUUUGGUAUAGGUUCAAAUCCUAUUGGACGCAAUUUAUUUCCAUCUAUUUUUUUGUUUCGAUUGCAAACAAAUUUUGAAUGAUUCAAAUCAGAAAUAGAGAUCUUUCUCAACGAUUCCUAUUGUACUAAAAGACACCUCAAAAUAAUCAAUGAAUUCAUUGAUUUAUGUUUGUUCCUGAAAUAGAAACAGUUCUAUCUGUUCCUGAAUAGCUUCUUUCAGAAUGGCUUCUGCUUCCUCGGUGAACGUCCGGGUAGAAGAUAUGAUUUCUUGGAACUGAGGCUUAUUUGUUCUUAAAUAAGUACGUAACUGAACGAGAAAUUUCUUCACCUGUCCAAUUUCUAAUGGAUCAAGAUACCCAUUCGCUCCUGUAUAAAUAGUAACUACCUGUUCUUCCACCGCGAGAGGGGCUGCUUGGGAUUGUUUGAGCAACUCGCGCAAUCGUUGACCUCUUGCCAAUUGAUUCUGAGUAGCUUUAUCGAGAUCAGAAGCGAAUUGUGCAAAGGCUUCUAACUCUGCAAAUUGAGCCAGUUCCAAUUUUGAUUUGCCAGCUACUUGUUUCAUAGCUUUAAUUUGAGCUGCGGAUCCUACUCUGGAAACGGAAAUACCCACAUUAAUAGCAGGCCGGAUUCCAGCAUUGAAUAGAUCGGCAGAUAAGAAGAUUUGUCCAUCUGUAAUGGAAAUUACAUUAGUGGGAAUAUAAGCCGAAACGUCCCCAGAUUGAGUCUCAACUAUUGGUAAAGCAGUCAUACUUCCUUCGCCUAAACGAGAACUUGAUUUAGCGGCUCUUUCCAAAAGUCGGGAAUGCAAAUAAAAAACAUCUCCUGGAUAAGCUUCGCGACCAGGCGGUCUUCUUAAUAGAAGAGACAUUUGGCGAUAAGCUUGUGCUUGUUUAGAGGGAUCAUCAUGAAUUAUUAAAGUAUGUCGUUCACGGUACAUAAAAUAUUCAGCCAAGGCUGCUCCUGUAUAAGGAGCGAGGUAUUGUAAUGUAGCAGGUGAAUCCGCCGUUUCAGCUACCACAAUAGUGUAUUCCAUUGCUCCUUGUUCCUGGAAAGUAGUCACUACCUGAGCCACGGAAGAUGCUUUUUGACCAAUAGCUACAUAAACACAUAUUACAUUUUGCCCCUUUUGAUUCAGAAUAGUAUCUGUAGCUACGGCUGUUUUACCGGUCUGUCUGUCCCCAAUAAUUAAUUCUCGCUGACCGCGUCCUAUAGGAAUCAUGGAAUCAAUAGCAAUAAGACCUGUUUGAAGAGGUUCAUAUACGGAACGUCUCGAAAUAAUACCUGGUGCGGGGGAUUCAAUUAACCGAGAUUCGGAAGAUGAAAUUUCACCUCUCCCAUCAAUAGGUUUAGCCAGAGCAUUUAUAACACGACCUAAAUAAGCCUCACUCACUGGUAUCUGAGCAAUUCUUCCUGUUGCUUUUACAGAACUGCCCUCUUGUAUCAUUAAACCAUCACCCAUUAAUACAACACCAACAUUAUUGGAUUCCAAAUUUGGAGCAAUGCCUAUUGUACUCUCUUCAAAUUCUACUAAUUCGCCCGCCAUUACUUCAUCAAGACCAUGAAUACGAGCAAUGCCGUCGCCCACUUGAAGUACAGUGCCAGUAUUGACAAUCUUUACUUCUCUAUUAUAUUGCUCAAUCCGUUCACGGAUAAUAUUACUAAUUUCGUCAGCUCGAAUGGUUACCAUUAGUGUCUCUUAAUUCUUUUUCGGAAGCAAAACAAGGAAAAAUCAAAAGAAAAAAAAAAAAAAUAAUGCCUAUGGUAGCGGUAAACUAAUCAGUUAUAUUUUUCAUGGUCCCGAGCAUGCCAAUAUUAGCACUGAUGGUGCGUAAAUGUAACUCGCUGUUCAAAUAACUAUUCAGAGUUUCUAGAGCUCCUUGCAAGGCUUGUUGGAAAACUCGCUGUCGGACCUGAUUCAUCGCUCUUUGUUGUUCAAAAUGAAUGCUUUCAUUUUUGUAAUUUUCUAAUCGUUCUAAAUUUUCAUAAGCAGCAUUAAUCAAAUUACUUUUUUCUCGUUCUAUCUCAGAGUAUCCAUUCACUCGAAACUCAUCUGCUUCAAUUUCCACUUUCCGUAAGCGAGCCCGGGCUUUUUCAAGCUGCUCAAUGGCUCCCCCACGUAGUUCUUCUGAAUUGCGAAUCGUACUCAAGAUUCUCUGUUUUCGAUUAUCUAAUAAAUCACUUAAUGAAAGUAGAUUGUCUCCAUAUCAAUUCCACAACUUCUAUGAUCUCUUCCCGAACCGAACAUGAAUCUUUCAAUUCAUUUGGCUCUCACGCUCAGUUACUUAUGGGACACUCCCGUAUCUUUUAAUGAGCCUACCCUCUCUCUUCGUCUUCUAAGAUAUCGAAACUGAUACAAGACCAGGAUCCCCGGAGGGCUCUUCCGACCAGGUAACUGUCAGGAAAGUCGUUUCUUUUAUUUGAUUAUCUUUAAAUCCAAAGAAUUUUUAUUCUACAUAGGUCGUCAAUUCAGCAUUGGAUAAAAAAAGUCGGAGUGCCCAUUUUUUUUACAGUGAAUGGUUCACAAUUAUUUUAUCGAUAUGAGUGUUCUAUAUCGGAUAAAUUACCAACUCUUCGUUUUGAAACCAUCUCUACGAAUGCAGUGGUAGAAAGAGUACCCCGUUGUGCCUGGACUUCAAACUUUAACUUUAACCAUGUAAAGGGUCCUACAUUAUUGGAUUGGUUGAUAGAGAAUCAAAGUGAAUUUACCAAUGAGUCACGAAAUGCUAUAGUUCCUACAUAUGAUUUCUUUAUUUAUUCAGAAGUAAUUCGUCGGGAUCAUGCACCUUAAUUCUUUUUUUUUUUAUUUAUUAUUUUAUAACUUAUAACAUCAUUUAUAAUAUGAUUAUUAUAAUUAUUAAAUUAUUAGUAUAUAAUUAUUAUUAUUAAAUUAUUAGUAUAUAAUUAUUAUUAUUAAAUAAAAUAGAAGUAUAUAAGUAUAAAGUAUAUAAGUAUAAGUAAUUUUUAUUAUUUAAAUUAUUACUAUUUUAAUUUAAUUUCUUUUAAUUUAGAAUUUAGUAGAAUCGAAUUUCUGUUCUAGAGAUAGAAAUAUUUAGUUAUUAGAAUAUUUCUUCUAAUUCUAAUAAUAUAAAAUAUAAGAAUUUCUAUUCUAUAUUCUAUAUUUUAAUUUUAGAUAUUUAAAUUGAAUUUAAAUUUUAAUUCUAUUUUAUUUCAUUUUUAUUUUUAUCAUUUUAGAAUUAUUCUAAUUUUAGAUUAGAUUAGAAAUAAUAUAUAAAUAUAAAAUUAGAAUUAAUUAUGUAAAAUGUAUAAAAGAAAAAAAAAAUAUGAAAAUGAGAUUUUAUAGAUUUUCUUUUAUUUUAUAGUUUUCUUUUUCUUUUAUAGUUAUAGUAUAGUAAAGAAAUAAAAUAUAUAUAAUUCUAAUAGAAAUUAGAAAUGAGAAUGAGUAAAGUGCAGCUGGUAGGAUCCAACCUAUUCUUGAAAUAAACAACUCGCACACACUCCCUUUCCGAAAAAAAUCAACACACCAAGCACCACACUUAGAUUUAUUGGAUUUGUUGCAAAAAUAUCGGUAUUAAAUCCGAAACUUCCGGCAGAUGGCCAGUGGCCCAAGGAAACGAAAGAGUCGGUUACAUUUUUCAUAUACUCUCCUCUUCUAGAUAGGACUAACAAAACCAAACGGAGUUCUUUUUGUAUCACUUCACCCCAUAUCUUAUUUUUAUUUAAUUGAAGUUCCCGAUAAGAUACUUCAUUAGGUCAGGUCCCGGGUCUCGUAUCAUUUUGGAAAUACCUCGCGCGUUGCAACACUCCGAAAAGUUGUUUCCUUUGGACUAAGAGCGGGAAGGAAGAGAACGAGCGGAUCUGCUAAUUCCUCGAAUAAGUCCUUACCCCGGGGGGGAUUGUCUCAAAAUGAAUAAUUUAUUGUAGGAGUGAAGUGUUGAUAUAAUUCGAAGAAGUGGCAAGGCCAGGGUAAUAGGUAUAUUAUGUCUUUUUAGGAUUAAACAAAGGGAUUCGCAAAUAAAAGCGCUAAUGCCACGACCAGUCCGUAAAUUGUUAAAGCUUCCAUAAAAGCCAGGCUAAGCAAUAAAGUACCUCGUAUUUUACCCUCUGCUUCUGGUUGUCUCGCGAUACCCUCUACGGCUUGACCCGCAGCAGUACCUUGACCGACUCCGGGUCCAAUAGAAGCAAGUCCUACGGCCAAUCCAGCAGCAAUAACGGAAGCAGCAGAAAUCAGGGGAUUCAUGGUAAGCUCCUCGUACCAAAAUUAAGAAAUGGUUAAUGAUACAAUCAACUAAUUAAUUAUUUUAUUGCUCAUUAUUCCAUCACUAAGAUCCAUAUGAUCGAAGUAACUAAUAACUCUGAAUUGAAAUGAUGAUAUUACUGUCAGAUGGAAAUCCAUUUGGUUCUAGUUCUUCUAUUUCUUUGUUCUGUUCCCGAACCUUUCUUUCAAUUCUUCGCUCUUUCUCCUUUAUAUGCAUAUGAUUUGAUUGAUUUUAUCUGAUCUGUUUAUUCAUUCAAUCCACAGUCACAGGAAGAGCUUAUAUCAGAAUCUAUCUAAUUUGGUUUGGUGGGAAGUGGGAAAUAGAAAAUUACACUAUAUGGAUAGUCCAUAACGGAUCGUCCAUAUAUAACUAAUGACUAAUGAGUAUCUAAUAUCACAUAUACAUGUGUCUCUUCCAUAAUGUAAACCAUCCGCAUCUUAGUCUUAUUCUUAUAUAGAAUAGAAUUGGAUUUUAUAGAAUUGGAUCGUAUCCUAGAAUCAUUCCUAACCCACUUUGAAUCUUAUUCGUAUUCGUAAACUCCUCCUUUUCUUUAUCAACACACGGAUACAAACGGACAGAUCCAUCAGCUUGAAUCGUCACACAUCAAAAUUCACUGGAUCCGAUUGCAAUUAAUUACAAUUUUCGAUCAAUCGUUGAUUGAAUAGAAGGAAACCAAAUGAAAUGAGAACGGUUAAUGGUUACAUAUACAUGGAAGUAGAAGUAAGUUCUUUUUUUUUGUCGCAUGUCGCAAACAGAUAACAAUUGUUAUUCAAAUUAUGACAUGAAUGGGACAAAUGGGGAUCUUAGGAAAAAGACUUUUUAGGGUUUUUCCUUUUUGUUUGCUUUUAGAAUUCCGCAAUAUCGUACAUAUCUCUUUCUACCAUUCUAUAUCGUAUGUACCGUAGAUUGCCGUAUCUAUCAUGUUCCCCAACCCCAAGGGGUCUCUUUAGCCACCCAUGAAUUGGAAUAAGAUUCAUGGGCUUUUUCAUUUUUAUUUUAAAAAGGACUAUUUUGAUUGUGAUUGAUUUUGAAAGUUAUUCAAUGAUGACCCUCCAUGGAUUCGCCUAUAUAAGCCGCGGCUAAAGUUGCAAAAAUCAAAGCUUGAAUACCGCUUGUGAAUAAUCCGAGGAACAUGACAGGUAUAGGAACCAAUGAAGGGACUAAAGAAACAAGAACAACAACUACUAAUUCAUCAGCCAAUAUAUUCCCAAAAAGUCGAAAACUAAGUGAUAAAGGUUUUGUGAAAUCUUCUAAGAUAUUAAUUGGUAAAAGUAUGGGAGUUGGUUGAAUAUAUUUACCGAAAUAACCCAAUCCUUUCUUGCUAAUACCUGCAUAGAAAUAUGCCACUGACGUGGGUAAAGCUAAAGCAACAGUAGUAUUUAUAUCAUUUGUAGGUGCAGCUAACUCCCCCUGAGGUAACUCUAUGAUUUUCCGAGGUAAAAGAGCGCCGGACCAGUUAGAAACAAAAAUAAAUAGGAACAUAGUUCCAAUAAAGGGAACCCAGGGACCAUAUUCUUCUUCUCCAAUCUGAGUUUUGGUCAAGUCUCGAAUGAAUUCAAGCACAUAUUCGAAGAAAUUCUGACCGUCGGUCGGAAUGGUUUGUGGAUUCCGAACAACUAUAGUGGCUGAACCUAAUAAGAUAGCAAUUACGACCCAAGAAGUUAUAAGUACUUGGGCAUGGACUUGGAAACCCCCAAUUUGCCAAUAGAAAUGUUGGCCUACUUCCACACCGGAUAGAUCGUAUAUCCCUUUUAGUGUGUUGAUGGAACAUGGUAGAACACUCAUAUUACCCCCUGACAGAAAUGAAACUUAAGUUAAGAAGGAAUUAUUUUGAUUCAAUCAUCUCUUUCUCGACUCUCCUACUUUGGCUUUGACUUUGCUUUGACUUUACUUUAAUCGCAUAGUAUAUUCCGGAUACCCAGUAAGAAGUAAUCAGAUAUCAUGACUAUUGAUUUGAAUCUCUUUUUCCAGAUUCAGGAAUAGUAACCGAUUCAAUAAAUUCUUGAUUUACCGAAAUAAUUGACUUAUCUUAUUAUAAUUGACUUAUCUUAUUUUUAAUCAAUGACUUCCUAGAUAGCUAUAAUGACCCUCACGAAUUGCCAAUACUAAUUUGUUAAGAAUCAAUUGGAUUGAAGCUAUAGCGUCAUCGUUGGCUGGAAUCGGAAUAUCUGCGAGAUCCGGAUCACAAUUUGUAUCGAUUAAACAAAUCGUCGGAAUACCCAAAGUGAGGCAUUCUCUAAUAGCCGUAUAUUCUUCUUGGUGAUCCACGAUGAUUACAAUAUCGGGUAACCCCGUCAUAUAUUUGAUCCCGCCCAGAUAUGUUUGCAAGUGAGAUAAUUGUCUCUUCAACAUUGCCGCAUCUCUUUUCGGGAGACGCUUAAAUCGACCCAUCUUUUGUUCUGCUCUCAAGUCCCUGAACUUAUGAAGUCUUGUUUCUGUAGUGGACCAAUUCGUUGACAUACCACCAAGCCAUUUUUUAUUGACAUAAUGACACCGAGCCCGUAUUGCAGCUGAUGCUACUGAAUCGGCUGCUUUAUCUUUCGUACCUACUAUUAAGAAGUGCUUUCCUCUACUUGCUGCAUCAAAAACUAAAUCGCAGGCUUCUGAUAAAGGACGAGCCGUUCUAGUAAGAUUUGUAAUGUGAAUGCCUUUACGCUUUCCAGAGAUAUAAGGUGCCAUUCUAGGAUUCCAUUUCCUAGUACCAUGACCAAAAUGAACCCCUGCUCCCAUCAUCUCUUCCAAAUUGAUGUCCCAAUAUCUUCUUGCCAUUUCUACCCACACUUCCUCUUUUUUUUCAGGAAUGAGGUACCCUGAAAUCUGAAAUAUAGAAUUGUUCCUACGGAACCUUAUACCGGGGAUGGACCGUUGAUACAUGGUCCAAGCCAUUCACUCCUUUCUAUUCCUUGAUUAAAUUGAAAUUCAAUUCAAUUCAUUAUCAAACGACUGUAUAAUCUGUAACUGUAUAAUAAUAAUAUAAUAUAGAUAAAAUAAUGAAUCCGCUCUUAUGAAUCAUUAAAUCCCAUAGAAUUAUUGUUCUGAUGUAUCAUGAAAAUUCUUUGGGAUGCACGAACCACAAAAUUCUCUGUGGUAGAACAAAAUAUCUCUCAUCUUCCCAUCGAAUAGAUUCUUCUUUUUUAUUUCCAAAGAAAUGUUGUUGUGUUCCCUGGAGUGGUGAACGAAUCCUUUGAAUCCGGUACCAACAGGUAUCAUCCCCCCCAGAACAACAUUCUCUUUCAGGCCUUUCAACCAAUCAAUACGACUUCGGAGAGCGGCUUUCGCUAAAACCCGAGUGGUUUCUUGAAAACUCGCUUCUGAUAUGAAACUUUGAGUAUUCAGAGAUGCCCUCGUUAUUCCCAAUAGAAUAGCUCGGUAACAUAUAUCGUCUUCCAAAGCACGACCUAUUCUUUCUGCUCGCAACAAUCCGAUUAGUUCUCUGGGUGAAAAAACAUUAGACAUUCCAUCUUCUGAAACCAAGACUUUUGAUGUUAUUUGUCGUACAAUAGUUUCUAUAUGCCUAUUAUGGAUCUGCACCCCCUGGGAUCGAUAAACCUUUUGGAUCUUAUUAACCAAAGAGAUACGACUUUGCACUAUGGUUAGCUGAGCACUAAUAAAGAAUUCCCAGGGAAUUCCAAGAAAUCCUGUUAUGCGUUCGUUCCAGCCUUCAACCCUCUUUUCUAGGUUCAUCGAUAUUGAAUCAAUCGAACGAACUUCUAACACUUGUUCAACUUUUGGAAGACCUUGAGUUAUAUCACCAGAUCUUGAUUUUUCAUAUAUAAAAGUAACUAAUGUAUCUCCCUCGUAAAGGAUUUCUCCAUAAUGACCAUGAACGGUUGCUCCGCGGGUAGCCAAAUGGUACUUAGCUAAUCUUAUUACUAAAGAGUCAACAUGAACAAUUAUAAUUUGACCAGAUUUUACGCAUGGUCCGUCUUUGGAUAUACAUAUAUUUUCACAAAGAAACUGUCCAAGGCUAAUUAUUGUUGAUGUAUCUUCCCAAUAAUCGUGAUGGAGAAAGCACCAAUUCAAAUUGAAUGGAGUCAAAAUGAUGUUACUGCAUGGAUCAAGAUUAUAAAUCCUUCUAUUUUCAUCCAUGAAAUAAGAUUUAGGUACUAGGAAAGUCUCUCUUGAAUUGUCAGGUAGUAAAUAUUUAUUGAACAAGAUCUCAUUAUGAGUUAUUGAAUGAUAAGAUGAGGAAAAAUUCAAAAUGUUAGGUACAGUCCCUAACGGACCCAACGAAUUCCUAAUUGAAAUCAUGGGAUCCUCUUGAAUUGAUUCUUUUGUCACAUUGUGAUAUUUCGAACCAUUCAAUGGACCAAUUCGAGAACAAUUGGAUGAUGACAAAACCAUAAGAGAUUCGCCCUGGCCUUCCUUAUUUCUAUUCAGCAAUGUACGAAUAGUUCCUUGAUGUUGGCUAAGUGAUUGAGUCUUCGCCUUGGAAAAAAAAGGAUUGGUAUUGAUGCGAUCUGAUCCAUUAUUAGGAAUCAAUCCUGAACCCGCCAUAUCAUUCUCUUUUCCAGUAGACGAAAUAGGAGACUUCACCAAAUCAAUUCUUAUAAAAUUUCGAAUCAGAUCGUUUACCCUUACUUCAGCGAGGGAAGUAUAAGCCUCUUCUUCUUCUAUAGAACCAGCCCGGUCUUGAUCCCAAUUCAAUACUAAGCAAGUCCGAACUAAUUGAAUGCUUGUGUGAAAAAUUCCUCGAAUGGGUUUGCCAUCUCCAUAAAGAAUAUAAUUGACAACUCGUAGUUGCAAAUUAUUCUUUUCCUGCAACAGAUCCUGGGGAAAAAACGUUGCUAGAUUUAUCCCAUCGGCGAUUUCAUAUGUCACUACGGGUCGGACUGAAACAAAAUACUUUUUCUUGAUAGGUGUGAUCCGUUGGACAUAGAUCCAAUUUUUGAAUUUUGAUUCCGUGUUUUUUACCCUUCCAGGUGGUAUCAAGAUGCCGCUGUACCGGGCUAUAUUAUCCGUCUCUCCAGGAAAAUGGAUAUCUCCAGAAGAUAUUUUCAAUUCAAUCCUUUUUUUUUUUUUCUCCACUCGGACCAAGCCGCCUACUUGACUUCUUAUAUUCAAAGUGAUUCGUGUAUCUACUCCAAUGAUACUAUUAUUCCGUACCAUUAUGGACGAAGAUCUAGGUAAGAUAUGCACUUCUUCAGGAAUGAAAAAAAAUCGAUUUACUUUGAUUUGGAUUUGGUAUUUUGGUCCAAACUCUCUUGUCUUUCGAUAUUCAAUUAAAUCUUCUUUUUUUAUUAUCGAAUCGACUUCUAUGGUCCCAUAUUUGGCAAUUCCUGAACUACUUCUUCUGUAUCGGGGAUCGUCGAAAUAGGCAAGAAUACUAUUUCUACGUAAAAUACCUUUUAUGGGUAUUUUAAUCACGAUACCAGGAGGCCUUAGUUCCUUCUCCUGUUCUUGAUCAUAUUGGAAUGGGAUGAUGAAUCUAUUUCUUCGCCUCUUCGCCAAUAAAUCAGAAUUCUCGUGGAGAAUAAGAGGAUAUAUGGAAUCCCAAUUCCUGUUGGAUAUGAUUCGAUCAGGUCCUGAAUAAUAAGAAACCCUCCCCCUUUUUUGAUCCCACCCAAACAAUUUGUGUCUCACUCGAUCAUUAUUCAUCGAGAGGUCAGAAAUAUAUCUCUCUUCGACAUAAAGAGAUUGAACAUUCAUUUGAUCUUGAUCCUUGUGGAGUGGAAAAGGCACUAUACUGGAUCUGCAUGGACUUCCUGAUAAUACCCAUAAAUGACUUGUUUUGGGUAAGAGAUGAACAUUACCAUGCGUAUAUUCAGGUGUAUGGUACACAUCGGUACUCCAGUGCAUCUCUCCCUCUGAGUCAGAAUAAAUAUGUUUUUGAACCCUCUCCUUUAAAGUGGAUGUUCCAGCGCGAAUCUCAGCAAUCACUUGUUCUGAUUCUACAUAUUGAUCGUUUUGAACCAAAAGAAAACUUUUUGGUGGAAUAUUCACUUUAUGUAUAAUAUCCUGACUCUCAAUAGUUACAUGCAGGUCUAUAUGGCAUAGAAAAGCGGGAUGUCCAUGACGUGUACGUGUGGGAUGAACUAAAUCCUCAUUGAAUUUAAUUUUUCCAUUAGAAGGAGCUCGUACAUGUUCUGCGAUACCGCCUGUGAAUACUCCACCGGUAUGAAAAGUUCUUAAUGUUAGUUGAGUUCCCGGUUCUCCAAUUGAUUGACCCGCAAUAAUACCUACAGCUUCUCCUAAUUCGACCAGGUUACCGUGAGUGGUACUCCGACCAUAACAUAAUUGACAGAUCCAAGAUGUACUCCUGCAAGUGAAGGGGCUUCGAAUAUAUAUUGGUUGUGCCCGAGAGGUUAUGAAUCGAUUGACAAGUCCAAUCCCAAUAUCUUGAUUUCGAGUCGCAAUGCAUCGCAGACCCAUAUAUACAUCGUUCGCUAAUACGCGACCAAUUAGUGUUUGGAUAAAAAUCCUUUCCGUCACCCCAACCCCAUUUCGAGGACUUACGGAAAUACCUCGGAUAGUGCCACAGUCCGUUCUACGUACAACAAUGUGUUGAACUACUUCAACAAGUCUACGCGUGAGGUAUCCAGCAUCUGAUGUUCGUACAGCAGUAUCCACAACUCCUUUGCGGGCUCCGUAACAGGAAAUGGUAUAUUCCGUUAAAGAAAGCCCUUCGCGUAAAUUGCUUUGAAUGGGCAAAUCAAUCAUUUGUCCUUGGGGAUCCGACAUUAAUCCUCUCAUACCUACUAAUUGGUGGACCUGAGAUGCAUUUCCUCUAGCUCCCGAAAAGGACAUUAUAUAGACUGGAUUAAAAGGAUCAGUCAUCCUGAAAUUUGGAUUCAUUUCUUGUCUCAAAUAUUCACUUGUAGCAUACCAUAUCUCAAUUGAUUGGCGUAAUUUUUCUACUGCGUGUACAUUCCCAUAAUGAUGGUGCUUUUCCAAAAUCAAACUUUGUUGUUCCGCAUCUUGUACUAACCAUCCCUUAGAAGGCGUUGUUAAAAGAUCAUCAAUUCCUAAUGAAAUUGAUGUCAGAGUGGCUUGCCGGAAACCCAGAGUCUUUACUUGAUCCAGAAUGUGUGAUGUAUAUGCCAUUCCAAAAUGAUCUAUUAAUCUACUAAUAAGUCGUUUCAUGGCAGUUCCAUCUAUCGCUUUAUUGUGAAAGACCAGAUCGGCCCGUUCUGCCAUAAGUACCUCCAUAUUCCGGUGAGUAAGAUUCGACAAUGAGUUUCAGUCAGUGAUUCGAAGACUUAUUUUCCUUUUCCUCGAUCUUGAUUCACGUACAAAUUUUGGAAUUGUGAUACCUGUUGAACCGGAGAUAUCCGUAUUCUCACGGGUAUCACAGAAUUACUCAGGUACCAGAUCAAUAGGUCCGACAAAACCCUUGUAUAGCUUCUUCUAUUUCUCGAUAAAAAGAAAUAUGACCAACAGUGGUUCGAAUGUAUAUACAAACGAUUUCUUUUUUUACGCUUUUUACUAUUCGAUAGUGCUCGUGAAUCUCAUGGUAGAUACCCAAAGAUUCAUAUUGAACUUCAAUGGGAACUUCUCUAUUUAUUGAGGCAAUCACGCAUUGAUCUAGCCGCCACCGGAGCCACAAAGGACUGUAUAAGUCGAUUCGUUUCUGACGAUAAGCUCCAAGCGCAUCGUAGGAACUACAAAAAUAAGGUUCUUUCUCUUUUGUAUACUUAUAGUUAUUAUCGUCAACUAUUUCAUUUUGAUAGUUUCUGUAGUUACAUGGAUUAUACCUAUUUGUACAAAUACCUCGGCGAUUCCCAAUCGUUAGUACAUAGAGGCCAAUAAGCAUAUCUUGAGUUGGUACAGAAAUAGGAUCUCCAAUAGCCGGAGACAAGAGAUUCAUAUGAGAAAACAUAAGUAAACGGGCUUCCGCUUGAGCUUCCAAAGACAAAGGUACAUGAACAGCCAUCUGAUCCCCAUCGAAGUCUGCAUUGAAUCCCUUACGAACUAAUGGAUGUAAACAAAUAGCACGUCCCUCCACUAGAAUAGGUUGGAACGCCUGUAUGCCUAAUCUAUGCAAAGUAGGUGCUCUAUUCAACAAUACAGGAUGUCCUUCCAUAACCUUUUGAAGUAUUUCCCAUACAAUUGGUUCUUUUUCCCGAAUUUUACUUUUAGCAAUCCCUAUGUUGGAAGCAACAUGUUGUCUGAUUAGACCACGAAUUACAAAUGUCUGAAAGAGCUCUAUUGCUAUUUCUCGGGGUAAUCCACAUCGAUGUAAUGAAAGCGAAGGGCCCACCACAAUGACAGAACGACCCGAAUAAUCGACCCGUUUACCAAGUAGAGUCUCGCGAAAUCUUCCCUCUUUGCCUUCAAUUACAUCUGAAAAAGACUUGUAAACUUUAUUGUGACCGUCCCUCAUUGGUUGUCCGCGGAUCCCAUUAUCAAGAAGUGUAUCUACGGCUUCUUGUACUAAUUUUUCCUGACACAUCACUGAUUCCCCUGGCGUAGAUCUACUUGUUGUUAAUGGAUCAAUAAGAGUAUUAUUCCGAUAGAUAACUCUUCUAUAGAGUUCAUUAAUAUCCGAACUCAUUGGUUUACCCCCAUCUAUCUGAAUGAUUGGCCUCAACUCGGGAGGAAGAACUGGUAAUAGGCACAAAACCAUCCGUUCUGGUUCUACAUUUGUUCUAAGAAGAUGCUUAGCCAAUUCCAUGCGUCUAACCAAAAAAUCCUUUCUUCUUACGAUUUUUUUAUCUUCCCAUUCAUUCUCAGCGGAUCUUUCUUCCCCCAAUUCCUUCCAUUCUACCAAUGAACGAUCUGUAAUAAUUCGCAAAUCCGGGUCGGCUAAUUGUUCUCUGAUAGCACCUGCUCCAGUAGAUAUUUCUCUAUUUCUAAAUAGAUUGAAGCAUUGGGUAGUAAAAAAAAGUGGGAUGCUGUAUUUCCGGGAUUGGAUUUCAUAUUCGAAUGAACCUCGUAAUCGUAAGAAAGUGGGUUUUUUAGCUAUGGGCCUAGCAAAAGAGAAAUUGGGAUAAGUUCCUAUAGAAUCCCCCCCUCAAAAUCGGACGUGAAGGUUUCCUCUCAUCCGGCUCAAGUAGUUGUACCAAAUAAAGGGGUUCUCACUCCCAAAUUUUACUCUAGAUAAAUCCCAAAACUACUCCUUACUCAAGUUCUCGGUGAGGGCCAAUCCAUAUUUCAUUGAUUCACCUCUUCUCCUCAAUGACUCAUUCAAUUACGACAAAGUGGAAUUAUUGAGUAGUCUCCUUCCCUUCGAAUGAUGAAUUCUCUUAAAUUAAAAGAAGACUUUGGAAUUCAUAAGGGAUUUACUUGUCUAUGUAUCAUUCCAUUCGAUCUUUUAGGUCCCUACUUCGCCUCGACGGUUAUGCCAUGGUGUCCCUUGAAGUGAAGCAUAUAUGCGAUGGAUAGACUCCUGUAACCAUGUAAUAUCUGCUUAUUUGAACAGAACCUCUUUCUAAACUAAAAGAAAUACAAUGGCUGGUUCUAGUUUCACGAAAGACGCUUUUUUUACGAGGUACAACUAGAAUUCCCUAUUGAUUGAUCCGCUACGGAAUCGACCAUGGAUCAAUUCCUCUUUCAUUUGGAAGUAUUGAAUAGACCCAUAAUUCUGAGCUUCAUGUUACUUCUCCUAAGAGACAUGUCAGAGCUGGAGGCAUCCCAAUUGGAUUGAACGGGAUGACAGUUUUUCAUUCUGAACCUGUAGAAUUGUAAUUUUGAUCAAAUCACACAUCGCAGUAUACCAGGCCUUCUAAUUCUUUAAGAGGUCUAUCUGAAAGAUUCGCGAUAUAACUGGGAAGACGUUUCAAAUACCACACAUGAGUCACUGGACAUGCCAGUUUGAUGUAUCCCAUUUGAUAUCUUCGUAUCCGAGAAUCAACAGAUUCGACUCCGCAUUGUUCACAAAAUUUCGGGUCUUCUUUUUCAUCCCCGAUGACUCGGUAAUUUCCACAAGCACAAAUUCCACUUUUGAUAGGCCCAAAGAUUCUUUCACAAAACAAUCCAUCUUUUUCCGGUUUAUUGCUUUUGUAAUGAAAAGUAUAGGGUUUUGUCACUUCUCCAACCAUCUCUCCAUUAGGUAGGAUUUUGUUGGCCCAAGCAGUUAUUUGUUGAGGAGAAACUAAUCCAAUUCGAAGUUGUUGAUGUUUAUAUCGGUCGAUCAUAGAAGAAAAAUUCUGAUUCAUUCCGAUCAAGCUUCCUUCCUAUUAAUCUGGAAGUUCUUCUCAGAUACAAGGAAAUGCUUCAGUUCCAGAGCCAAAGAUCGUAGUUCUCGAACGAGCAAUCGAAAAGAUUCUGGAGCACCCUCAGGCUUAGGUAUUGUUCCUCCAACGAUCGUGGUACCAAGUAGUUCCUGACGAGCUCUAAUAUGGUCGGAUUUAUAAGUAAGCAUCUCUUGUAAAAUAUGAGCAACACCAAAUCCCUCUAGAGCCCAGACUUCCAUUUCUCCUACUCGUUGUCCCCCUUGCUUGGCCCUUCCUCUAAGGGGUUGUUGUGUAACAAGUGCAUAAUGUCCACUGGAACGUCCAUGGAUUUUAUCAUCUACUUGAUGAAUUAAUUUCAGCAUAUAGGACUUUCCUAUUAUAACAGGUUGUUCAAAAGGAUCUCCUGUUCUUCCAUCAAAUAUUCUGCUUUUUCCAGGAUACUCGGGUUCAAAUACCCAUGGAUUUGCUGUUCGCUUACUGGCUUCAUAUAAUUCAGGAAACACUAGUUUUCUCGAAGCCUCUUGCUCAUAUCUCUCAUCAAAGGGUGUUAUUCUAUAAUGUCUGUCCAGCAGAUCUCCCGCUAACCCCAGCGAGCAUUCAAAGAUCUGUCCCACAUUCAUUCGUGAAGGUACUCCUAAUGGGUUGAAGACCAUAUCAACUGGUGUUCCAUCUUGCAAAUAAGGCAUAUCUUGUCUAGGCAAAAUUUUGGAAAUGAUACCCUUAUUGCCAUGUCUUCCGGCGACUUUAUCACCCACUUUGAUUUCACGUUUCUGUGAAAUAUAUACACGAAUUUUUUCUGGAUUAUAACUGGAAGCCCCUUUUUUCUGGAUCCAUCUCACAUCAAUAACUCGACCUCUUCCACCUAUAGGUAGUUUUAGACAAGUUUCCUUUGCAGUGGAUACUUGAAUUCCAAGUAUGACUCGUAAUAAUCUAUCUUCCGGGGCAUACGAUGAUUCUUUCGCUGUCUGAGGCGUCAAUUUACCUACUAAAACAUCACCCGUUUCCACCCAAGAUCCGAGCAUCACAAUUCCAUUUCUGUCUAAAUUACGGAGCAAAUGAGCUUCUAAAUGAGGUAUUUCGUUAGUGAUCUUUUCAGGGCCGUGGCUUGUCACAUGAGUCUGAAUCUCAUAUUUCCGGAUGUGAAACGAAGUAUAAAUAUCUCCAUAUACCAGACGUUCGCUAAUUAGUACUGCAUCUUCAAAAUUGUAGCCUUCCCAUGGCAUAUGAGCUACUAAUACGUUUUUUCCCAAAGCGAGUUCCCCACCAACUGUAGCCGCACCAUCCGCCAAGACUUGUCCCUUUUUAACAUAUUUAUCCCGAUGAACCUGAGGUUUUUGAUGCAUACAAGUAUUUUUGUUGGAACGCUGAUACAUAAGCAAUGGAAUGCUUAUAGUGUCUCCAUUCCCUGAUAAAAGGAUCUUUUCAGUAUCGGUAUAAAUGACCUUUCCCUCGUGUUGGGCUAUAGCUGAACCCCCCGAAUCUAAAGCCGCUUGGCGCUCCAACCCAGUUCCAACAAUGCAUUUCUCGGACCGAGAAAGCGGAACUGCUUGACGCUGCAUAUUAGAACUCAUUAAAGCUCGAUUCGCAUCAUUGUGUUCGAUAAACGGAAUGAGGGAAGCUCCAAUAGAAAAAUAUUGGAGGGGAUAAAUGCUUCGAAGAUCAAUAUGUUCCCAUGCAAUAGUCACGAAUUCUUGACGGUAUCGGGCUGGAACGACCUGUUCGUCUUGAAUAUCCUGAUUCAAGGCCAAAGAAUUUCCUGCUGCUACCAUUACCAUAUAGUAUUCAUCUCUCCUUGGUGAUAAAUAAACCAUCUGUUCCUCUUUUGAUCUCUCAGAUAUUUCAUAAAACGGACUUCGUAUAGAUCCCCAAUCGCCGAUCCUUGCAUGAAUAGCUAAGGAUCCGAUAAGUCCAACAUUGAUUCCUUCGGACGUGUCAAUUGGGCAAAUACGUCCAUAGUGACUAGGAUGGAUAUCUCGUAUGCGAAAACUAGCAGUUCGCCCUGUUAAUCCUCCGGGACCCAAAUAGCUUGAUUUUCGCCCAUGAACUAUCUGUGUCAAUGGAUUAGUUCGAUCCAAAACUUGAGAUAAAGGGUGUAGACCGAAAAACGAUUCAUAAGUGGUUGUUAAUGGAGUUGAAGUUACCAAGUUUUGAGGAGUCGGUAUAAAUUUAUGCCUGAUUGCUCCACAUAUAGUUCCUCGAACCACAUUUUCCAAACGAACCAGAGCCAAUCCGAAUUGAUCCUGUAACAGAUCUGCUACAGAACGAAUACGUUUAUUUUUCAAGUGAUUCAUAUCGUCAAGUGUACCCAUUCCAAAUUUCAUUCCGAUCAAAUGAUCUGUAGCAGCCAAUACGUCUCGUGGUAAUAAAAAUGUAUUGUUCUGGGGUAUAUCAAUAUUCAAUCUCUGGUUCAUAUUUUGUCGACCAAUCCUUCCUAAUUCACAUCUUUGUUGAAAAAAUCUCUUUUGUAAUUCCUUACAGAGGGACUCAGAAAAUACCGGAUCCCCGCCUACACAAGAAAAUUGUUGAUAAAACUCCAAAAUAGCAUUUUCCUUCGACCCAAUUUUCUUUUUCUCUUUCUCAUUCGGGAAAUACAAUAAAAUUUCGGGGUAGCAAACAUUGUCUAGAAUUUCUCUUAGAUUCGAACCCAUAGCUGAUGGUAGAACUAGAAUAGAAAUUUUUUGUUUCCUGCUCACACGGGCCCAUAUCCUUGCUUUUCUAUCAAUCUCUAAUUCUGAUCUUCCUCCCCGAUCUGAUAUUAUGGUGCCGGUAUAAACAGAAAUCCCGUUAUGGUCCAAUUCUGAACUGUAAUAAAUACCGGGGCUUUGCAAUAUUUGAUUGAUCACAAUUCUGUAUAUUCCAUUUACUAUAAAGGUUCCCAGAGAAUUCAUUAGAGGAAUGUUUCCAAUAAACACGGUUUGUUCUUGCAUAUCUCUACCAACUUUCCAAAUUAACCCCGCGGGUACAUAUAAUUCAGAGGAAUGUGUGAGUGAUUCAUACACAGCAUCUCUUUCUUUUAUCAAGGGUUCCGCCAAUUGAUAUGUUUCCACAAGUAAUUGAAAUUCAAUUUCUUGAUCUGUAUCUUCAAUUUUUGGAAACUUAUGAAGUUCUUCUGCCAAGCCCUGAUCAACGAACCUACAAAAUCCUUCAAAUUGUAUCUGACUAAAUCCAGGUAUUGUAGACAUUCCCUCAUUUCCAUCCCGUAGCAUCUUACUUAAGUUUUCCAUUUCUCGAAAAAUCCCAUUAUUGGAUCACUCUUUAUCGAACCAUACGGAUCGAUCCAGCAAUGAUGGAAUGUAUAUUCUGUUUACUGAAUCACAUGAAAUUUUAUCCAACUCCAUAUACGUAUGAAGGAGGGAUAAAGAGAAUUUUGUACUUCAAUUCGAAUUGGUUACAAAUGCAAAUGGAAAUGAUAUUCCUGUAACAAGGAUUCUGGCACUUAUUGAGUUGAGCUUUGUUUUUGUUAUAGAAUAAGAAUAGAAUAGGGUUGGGUCUUUUCGAUCAAAUUUCUACCUAAUUUAAUUAUCUUAUCUAUCCAUUAUGAUAAUCAAAGUGGGUACCAGAAAAAUAGAUUGAUUCAGAAUUUGAUCCUUCUUUAUGAUAAUGAUAGAAAGACAGAAUAAUCAGGAGCAUUAAAAAGAGUUAACGCUUAGCUUAGCACUUAUUUCGUUUCGUUGAUUCCAUGGUUCAGUUCACAGAAAGAAAUUUUGAUAUUUUCUUAUUUUCUAUUUUGACCCAUUUGAAUACUGCAUAGGAAGAGUUAUAUCUAUUAGAUUAAAUAUCUAAGUAAAUGCAACGCAGAUAUAGCCAUCUAGCUAGCCACAUAUUCCAUCUUUUAUCGUAGCUCCAAUAUAUUCGUGCCAUAUCAUGAUUUAUUUCUAUUUUCUAUUCAAAAUAUUCAAAGUUGGAACACGACGGUUCCCUGUAAGGAUGUGUAAAUAAAAUACCUGACUAGGUGUGUAAUAAUUCUUGUUUGGGGUUUACAUAUACACAGAGUCGUUGUUAUAAUUAUGAUUAAUUUCAUUUGAAUAUGAAUUGAAUAUUGAAUCAAUGUAAUUUGAAUUGAAAAGAAUUGAUACUAAUUAGUUGUGUAUCAAUUUGAUUCUCUUGUGCCAUUAAGGAAACAGAGAUC